UCCGUGCCAGCAGCCGCGGUAAUACGGAGGGUGCAAGCGUUGUCCGGAUUUAUUGGGUUUAAAGGGUACGUAGGCGGAUUUUUAAGUCCGUGGUGAAAGCCUACAGCUUAACUGUAGAACUGCCAUGGAUACUGGAAAUCUUGAAUUCAGUUGAGGUAAGCGGAAUUUAUGAUGUAGCGGUGAAAUGCAUAGAUACCAUAAAGAACACCAAUUGCGAAGGCAGCUUGCUGGACUUGAAUUGACGCUGAGGUACGAAAGCGUGGGGAGCGAACAGGAUUAGAUA
rnacentral:rRNA from 12 species